rnacentral:rRNA from 1 species
AGAGUUUGAUCAUGGCUACAGAACGAACGCUGGCGGCGUGCCUAACACAUGCAAGUCGUGCGAGAAAGUUCCUUCGGGAGCGAGUAAAGCGGCGCACGGGUGAGUAACACGUAGGUAACCUGCCCCCCAGUCUGGAACAACUAGAGGAAACUCUAGCUAAUGCCGGAUGAGACCACGAUCCCUUCGGGGGUUGCGGCCAAAGAUGGCCUCUACUUGUAAGCUAUCGCUGAGGGAUGGGCCUGCGGGCCAUUAGCUUGUUGGUGAGGUAACGGCUCACCAAGGCUGUGAUGGCUAGCUGGUCUGAGAGGAUGACCAGCCACACUGGGACUGAGACACGGCCCAGACUCCUACGGGAGGCAGCAGUGGGGAAUAUUGCGCAAUGGGCGAAAGCCUGACGCAGCGACGCCGCGUGUGGGAUGACGGCCUUCGGGUUGUAAACCACUGUCGCGAGGGACGAAGAUCUGACGGUACCUCGAAAGGAAGCACCGGCUAACUCUGUG